AGCUGGGCCCUGCUGUGGAUAAGGACAAGGAAGCACUCAUGGAGGAGAUCCUCAAGCUGAAGUCACUGCUGAGUACCAAGAGGGAACAGAUCACCACACUUCGUAGCAGACGGCAGAGGUGGCCCUCGCCAACCUGAAGAGCAAGUAUGAGAAUGAGAAGGCCAUGGUGACCGAGACCAUGAUGAAGCUGCGGAACGAGCUGAAGGCCCUCAAGGAGGACGCAGCCACCUUCUCCUCCCUGCGUGCCAUGUUCGCCACCAGGUGUGAUGAGUACAUCACGCAGCUGGAUGAGAUGCAGCGGCAGCUGGCGGCUGCCGAGGAUGAGAAGAAGACUCUUAAUUCCCUGCUGCGCAUGGCCAUCCAGCAGAAGCUGGCACUCACCCAGCGGCUGGAGCUGCUGGAGCUGGACCAUGAGCAGACCCGCAGGGGCCGUAACAAGGCCACCUCCAAGGCCAAGCCAGCCACACCGAGCGUACCUUUACACAGACCCGAAACAGUAACGAACAGAUGCCUUCGGUUUCUGAGACAAUGAGGCCAAGUGAGGAGAAGGCAUAGGAAGGUGAGACUAACCGAGACUUAGGUGGCGGUUGAUGGCGGACCGUCUCCACAGCCAGCACACAUAGGAAAAGUGGGCCUGGGUAAAGAGUCACAUUGGUAGGACCAAUAAAGAAUAAUAAAAACAACUGAAGCA
rnacentral:lncRNA from 1 species